CGGAGGGGGGCUAGCGUUGUUCGGAAUUACUGGGGCGUAAAGCGCACGUAGGCGGACUGGAAAGUCAGAGGUGAAAUCCCAGGGGCUCAACCUUGGAACUGCCUUUGAAACUAUCAGUCUGGAGUUCGAGAGAGGUGAGUGGAAUUCCGAGUGUAGAGGUGAAAUUCGUAGAUAUUCGGAGGAACACCAGUGGCGAAGGCGGCUCACUGGCUCGAUACUGACGCUGAGGUGCGAAAGCGUGGGGAGCAAACAGGAUU
rnacentral:rRNA from 1 species